rnacentral:tRNA from 1 species
GGCUGGAAAGAUGGCUCAGUGGUUAAGAGCACUGACUGCUCUUCCAGAGGUCCUGAGUUCAAAUCCCAGCAGUCA